rnacentral:rRNA from 1 species
GGACGAACGCUUGCGACGUGCCUAAGAAAUGCAAGUCGAACGGGGUAGCAAUACCUAGUGGCGAACGGUCGCGUAACACGUGGGGCAACCUGCCCUGAAGCGGGGGGACAACAAGUCGAAAGAUUUGCUAAUACCGCAUGUGUCUCGCUGCGGCAUCGCAGAGGAGACAAAGCCGCAAGGCACUUCAGGAUGGGCCCGCGGCCUAUCAGCUUGUUGGUGAGGUAACGGCCCACCAAGGCUUCGACGGGUAGCUGGUCUGAGAGGACGAUCAGCCGGAUUGGGACUGAGAUACGGCCCAGACUCCUACGGGGGGC